rnacentral:rRNA from 1 species
UAGGGAAUAUUGCGCAAUGGGCGAAAGCCUGACGCAGCGACGCCGCGUGAGUGAUGAAGGCCUUCGGGUCGUAAAGCUCUGUUGUACGGGAAGAAGGUUGCAUACCUAAUACGUAUGCAAUUUGACGGUACCGUAUAAGAAAGGACCGGCUAACUUCGUGCCAGCAGCCGCGGUAAGACGAGGGGUCCUAGCGUUGUUCGGAAUCACUGGGCGUAAAGCGUUUGUAGGCGGCCCUGCAAGUCGGGUGUGAAAUCCCACGGCUCAACCGUGGAAGUGCAUUCGAAACUGCAGGGCUUGAAUAUGGAAGAGGAGAGUAGAAUUCCAGGUGUAGUGGUGAAAUACGUAGAUAUCUGGAGGAAUACCGGUGGCGAAGGCGGCUCUCUGGUCCAAUAUUGACGCU